CCUACGGGAGGCAGCAGUGAGGAAUAUUGGUCAAUGGACGAGAGUCUGAACCAGCCAAGUAGCGUGAAGGAUGACUGCCCUAUGGGUUGUAAACUUCUUUUAUAUGGGAAUAAUAUGUUCCACGUGUGGGAUUUUGUAUGUACCAUAUGAAUAAGGAUCGGCUAACUCCGUGCCAGCAGCCGCGGUAAUACGGAGGAUCCGAGCGUUAUCCGGAUUUAUUGGGUUUAAAGGGAGCGUAGGUGGAUUGUUAAGUCAGUUGUGAAAGUUUGCGGCUCAACCGUAAAAUUGCAGUUGAAACUGGCAGUCUUGAGUACAGUAGAGGUAGGCGGAAUUCGUGGUGUAGCGGUGAAAUGCUUAGAUAUCACGAAGAACUCCGAUUGCGAAGGCAGUUCACUGGACUGCAACUGACACUGAGGCUCGAAAGUGUGGGUAUCAAACAGGAUUAGAUACCCGAGUAGUC
rnacentral:rRNA from 1 species